ensembl:ncRNA lncRNA:CR45696 long non-coding RNA:CR45696
UCAACUUUCAUUUGUCAUUGUGGGUGCGUUGCUGCAGCCGAGCAAACAAAAUGCAUUACCGCAGACACAAGGACACCGAAGACAGGAGCGAAAGGACAAGGACUCGACGCAGUUCCUUAGCAGCUGACCCGAAAAAAAUUUAACCUUACGGGGCGGCAAACGGGCACAACUACUGAUAUUAACACAACCACGCAACACACUGAGGGAAAAAGCCACCGUUAAAAAGAAUUUU